UACGUAGGAGACGAGCGUUGUCCGGAGUUACUGGGCGUAAAGGGUGCGCAGGCGGCCUGGCGCGUCGCGAGUGAAAUCUCCUGGCUCAACUGGGAGGGUGGUCGCGAGACGGCUGGGCUUGAGGCUCGGUGAGGGACACGGAAUUCCGGGUGGAGUGGUGAAAUGCGUAGAGAUCCGGAGGAACACCAAAGGCGAAGGCAGUGUCCUGGGGAGUACCUGACGCUCAGGUGCGAAAGCCAGGGGAGCGAACGGG
rnacentral:rRNA from 1 species